CCUACGGGAGGCAGCAGUGAGGAAUAUUGGUCAAUGGGCGCGAGCCUGAACCAGCCACGUAGCGUGAAGGAUGACUGCCCUACGGGUUUUAAACUUCUUUUAUAAAGGCAUACAGUGAGGCACGUGUGCCUUUUUGUAUGUACUUUAUGAAUAAGGAUCGGCUAACUCCGUGCCAGCAGCCGCGGUACUACGGAGGAUCCGAGCGUUAUCCGGAUUUAUUGGGUUUAAAGGGAGCGUAGAUGGGUUGUUAAGUCAGUUGUGAAAGUUUGCGGCUCAACCGUAAAAUUGCAAUUGAUACUGGCAGUCUUGAGUACAGUUGAGGUAGGCGGAAUGCGUGGUGUAGCGGUGAAAUGCUUAGAUAUAACGAAGAACUCCGAUUGCGAAGGCAGCUUACUAAACUGCCACUGACACUGAUGCUCGAAAGUGUGGGUAUCAAACAGGAUUAGAUACCCCUGUAGUC
rnacentral:rRNA from 1 species